CACGUAGGGGACGAGCGUUGUCCGGAUUCAUUGGGCGUAAAGCGCGCGUAGGCGGCUUUGCAAGUCGGGUGUGAAAUCCCCAGGCUUAACCUGGGAACUGCAUUCGAGACUGCAUUGCUAGAGUAUGGGAGAGGGAAGUGGAAUUUCCGGUGUAGCGGUGAAAUGCGUAGAUAUCGGAAGGAACAUCAGUGGCGAAAGCGACUUCCUGGACCAAUACUGACACUCAACUACGAAAGCGUGGGGAGCAAACAGG
rnacentral:rRNA from 1 species